AGCGAACGCUGGCGGCAGGCCUAACACAUGCAAGUCGAACGAAGUCUUCGGACUUAGUGGCGGACGGGUGAGUAACACGUGGGAACGUGCCUUUAGGUUCGGAAUAACUCAGGGAAACUUGUGCUAAUACCGAAUGUGCCCUUCGGGGGAAAGAUUUGUCGCCUUUAGAGCGGCCCGCGUCUGAUUAGCUAGUUGGUGAGGUAAAGGCUCACCAAGGCUACGAUCAGUAGCUGGUCUGAGAGGAUGACCAGCCACAUUGGGACUGAGACACGGCCCAAACUCCUACGGGAGGCAGCAGUGGGGAAUCUUGCGCAAUGGGCGAAAGCCUGACGCAGCCAUGCCGCGUGGAUGAUGAAGGUCAUAGGAUUGUAAAAUCCUUUCACCGGUGAAGAUAAUGACUGUAGCCGGAGAAGAAGCCCCGGCUAACUUCGUGCCAGCCGCCGCGGUAACAC
rnacentral:rRNA from 1 species